rnacentral:rRNA from 1 species
ACGAACGCUGGCGGCGUGCUUAACACAUGCAAGUCGAACGGAAAGGCCCUGCUUUUGUGGGGUGCUCGAGUGGCGAACGGGUGAGUAACACGUGAGUAACCUGCCCUUGACUUUGGGAUAACUUCAGGAAACUGGGGCUAAUACCGGAUAGUAGCUCCUGCUGCAUGGUUGGGGUUGGAAAGUUUCGGCGGUUGGGGAUGGACUCGCGGCUUAUCAGCUUGUUGGUGGGGUAGUGGCUUACCAAGGCUUUGACGGGUAGCCGGCCUGAGAGGGUGACCGGCCACAUUGGGACUGAGAUACGGCCCAGACUCCUACGGGAGGCAGCAGUGGGGAAUAUUGCACAAUGGGCGGAAGCCUGAUGCAGCAACGCCGCGUGCGGGAUGACGGCCUUCGGGUUGUAAACCGCUUUCGCCUGUGACGAAGCGUGAGUGACGGUAAUGGGUAAAGAAGCACCGGCUAACUACGUG